UCCCAGUGUCAGCUGUGGCAGGACCCCCUUUCUGUGGAGGCCGUGAGGAUGACUACAGCCUGCCAUUCACGCAGACGUAUUUUCUCACCGUUCUGGAGGCAGCAAAGCCACGAUCAAGGUGUCACUGGUUCCUCGGAGGCUGUCAGGGGUGGGGAGUCUGCCCCAGGCCUCCCUCCUGGGCCAUCUCCAUCUCCCUGCACCAGCCUCUACGUCCAAAUCUCCCCUUUCCAUAAGCUCGGGUGGGGUGGGGCCAGGCCCUUCUGUGUGUCUGGCUCUGGGAGAGGGGUGGCUCCUGCCUGCGGCCGAUGAGGACAUCCCAGGGAGGCCCCGAGGGCCCCUCUGCAUCCCAGCCCUUCCCGCCUUUGUCCUUCAGACCACACGGGACACAGAGGGUCAGGAAAUGGAGGUGGCAGUGUGUCUCCUUCACGCAGUGGGCUCCUUGGCUGAGCUGUGCAGUAGCCUGUUCAUUAAGCCUGGCCGCAGCAUCCUAGUAGCUUAAUUAUGGGCUUCAUUACAAGGGAAGAUCAAUAGCCAGAAUGACAAAAGCUCAAAGAUAAUGGAAACAAAUAAAGUGCUUUGUCUUAGGUGACACUAAAGCUGUCUGGUCUGACAAAUCCUCCUCCAGUCCGGGCUUCCAGCUCCUCCGAGGGUCCAUUUGGGUUGAAUGGAAAACAGCUGUACACCCAGCCCAGAGCAGGCUGUGGAUGGAGCUCCGGGCAGCACUCUACUCCCUACCCCACGUGCCUCUGAUGUGGGUGAAGAUCAUGGUGCUGGACCAGUUUCUGGGCGAGCUGGGGAGACGCCUCUGCAUUACCUGUGUCCACUGGGGACCCGGCCGCCCUUCUCCUCUGAAGACACCGUGGUUGACACACAUCUCAGUCCCCAGGGGACCUGGCCGCCCUUCUCCUCUGGGGACACUGUGGUUGACGGCCCUUCUCCUCUGGGGACACCGUGGUUGACGGCCCUUCUCCUUUGGGGACACUGUGGUUGAUGGCCCUUCUCCUCUGGGGACACUGUGGUUGACAUACAUCUCAGUCCCCCAGGGGGUUUCCAGUCUAGACGGAAAGACAGAUGUGAAUCACGUCAUCACACCAUGGCAUUUCUGCAAACUCAGCUGAGUGUGAAAGAAGGAACACGGUGGCCAAGAGAAAGCCAGGCCAUCCUGACCCAUCCUGGGGUGGGGGCUGAGGUUGGGAAGAUGAGGGCAGUGACCCCGAUGGAGGGGACAGCAGACCCCAAGGUGGGAGAGGGACUGGCCCGUCCGAGAAACUCAGAGAGGACCAGAGGUUAGAACGUGGUGAGACGGUGGGGAGAAGGAGGCUGUGAGCUGCAGAUGUGGCAGGGGCUUCAUGGAUACAGGCGAGGGCGGGCCUUUAUUCCCAAAGCUGCAGAGGCUGCUAGGACUGUUGGGGGUCCCUCGAGGACAGAGGGGGCUUAGGGUGAGGGCAGCUGAGUGUGAGGCUGCACAGGGCCCACAUCCACCCAUGAGCAGUGGGUGCCCUGUUGAGACCUCCUGCGUUGCCCGCACGGGCGAGCUCAGAGCUGUGGUUGGUGUGGAUACUGGGCGCCUCUUCUCCAAAUGCAGGAGAAAAGCAGAAGGAUGCAAACAGAGAUGUGGAGAAAAAAUAAACACGAGAACAAACCCGGGACAAGGGUGGGAUAGGGGCCUCCUCAGAGCCUCCUGAGCCACCGUCGCCUCAGGGGGUGUCGGGGUUUGGGGCCCCCUGGCAGGCCAGGUUCCUUGAGGUGGAGGCCCUGUG
rnacentral:lncRNA from 1 species